rnacentral:rRNA from 1 species
CCUACGGGAGGCAGCAGUGAGGAAUAUUGGUCAAUGGGCGCGAGCCUGAACCAGCCAAGUAGCGUGAAGGAUGACUGCCCUAUGGGUUGUAAACUUCUUUUAUAAGGGAAUAAAGUGAGGCACGUGUGCCGUUUUGUAUGUACCUUAUGAAUAAGGAUCGGCUAACUCCGUGCCAGCAGCCGCGGUAAUACGGAGGAUCCGAGCGUUAUCCGGAUUUAUUGGGUUUAAAGGGAGCGUAGAUGGGUUGUGAAGGCAGUCGUGAAAGUUUGCGGCUCAACCGUAAAACUGCAAUUGAUACUGGCAGUCUUGAGUACAGUUGAGGUAGGCGGAAUUCGUGGUGUAGCGGUGAAAUGCUUAGAGAUCACGAAGAACCCCGAUUGCGAAGGCAGCAUACUAAACUGUGACUGACAUUGAUGCUCGAAAGUGUGGGUAUCAAACAGGAUUAGAUACCCCUGUAGUC